UACGGGGGGGGGCAAGCGUUGUUCGGAAUUACUGGGCGUAAAGGGCUCGUAGGCGGCCAACUAAGUCAUACGUGAAAUCCCUCGGCUUAACCGGGGAACUGCGUCUGAUACUGGAUGGCUUGAGUUCGGGAGAGGGAUGCGGAAUUCCAGGUGUAGCGGUGAAAUGCGUAGAGAUCCCCAAGAACACCAGUUGCGAAGGCGGCCGACUGGACACAUAUUGACGCUGAGGCUCGAAAGCAUGGG
rnacentral:rRNA from 1 species